UCCUCGAUAGCGGAGUGGUUAACGCACCCAGCUAAAAAAUGGGAGAUCGCAGGUUCAAUUCCUGCUUGAGGAC